rnacentral:lncRNA from 1 species
GGAAAAGGAAAGAAGGGAAGGUAUUGCAUGUGUUGUGUCUUACUGCUAAAGUUGCAGUGAAAUCUACCUGAUCCUGGUGGAAGUGGGGAAGAAGCCAACCUUUGAUUUCUCCGUGAUGGAAGGUAGGACAAUCAAGAAAUAGAUGGCACUCAAAAGUUCAAGGUAGGUUUUCCAUGUAUGGCACUGAAUGACUGGCAUGGUGAUAGGAUAGGAAUACUUGUUGAAAUUAGUUUCAUGAGCCAAGGGAGGCACAAAGAUCCAGGAAAGUCCCUCAUGCUUUUUGUCACAUGUGAGCAUGAUAACUUUGGGCCUGAGAAAAUGUGUGUGCGUUUAUUGUACUGAACCCUACCACUUCAGUAUAACACAUUUGGCAAGUCCUUGCCAAGGAUCACAGACAAGGUCUGUUUUCUUUUGAUAGUCUGCUAUUAAGGGGCUGGAAUAAGAGAGUGUUAGGUGGUCUUAUUUCUGGAAAAGGGAGAAUGGGGAGAAUGGUGAAGGAGUUGAGAGAGAAGAUGCUUAGCAGGCAGUAGGUAAUCACCAGAGCACAGAUUUUAGAGUGAGCAGGUCCUGUAUUAAUUAAUUCCUGUGCACUGGGGCAACAUUUAACCUCUUUAUACUUGUUUACUAGUGAGUAAUCAGGGAAUGUUUACCUGGAUUGUAUGAGGUUAGAAUCAUCAUAUUCAUAUAUAUAUAUAUACACACAUACACACAUAUAUGUAUAUACUUUUUCUCAAAUUAUCCUCCAUCAUGUUCCAUCACAAGUGACUAGAUAUAGUUCCCUGUGCUAUACAGCAGGAUCAAAAAUUCUUUAAACAAAUUUAUUAAGAGCCUCCUGUGAGCCUGACACUUUUGGGGGGGGGGGCGGGGGGGUAAACAAGACAAAGUUCCUGCGUUUAUAGGGCUUACAUCUGGUGGUAUUUCAAACAGUGGUAGUUAUUGAUUUGAGGAAACCCUAAGUAGGGCUUGGGAUUAAGAAUACCAAAGAGAGGCAAAAACCUGCAUCAGUUACUGAUUAUUCAAACCUGAUGGCAGGUCAUUGCAAGUUCCAGUAUUUUUAUCUGAUAGGGAAAACUCUGAUCAUACUCAUAAAUGGUGCUCAGAGGACUCAGCUGCAACUGUUUAAUAUACUCAAUCCAGCCAUCAGCCUUUCCAGAAGAGAUGCAGUGUUUAAAACCCACCUCCAGACCAAGUCUGUUUCUUGCCUUGCUCAUCUUCACAGUAUAGCCAAACAUUUGUUGCCUCAACUUGUACCCCUCUGUUCAUCCAGUAAGUAGAGGCAUUUGUCUUUGCUUGCCUCUCCCACAGGCUUUCUUUCCCAGUAGGUUUGACCUCCUACCAAUGGGAAGUCUGAUUCAUGUAUCUUCCCCUAGUUAGUGUGAAGUCUUGAGUCCCUUUGGACCAGUUUUGCCUUCAUACUGGUGUGAUGUUUUCCUGUGGGCAGCCGGGGCCUGAGGAGCAUUUCCCUGCCCCACUCUAGGCUUCCUUUCCACUCUCUGGAGAAUAACCAAGAUGUCAAGGUAUAUAUAGCACCCUCAUUUUGGGGGGUGCUUAAGAUUCUUCUGAACAUACCUUGAAGGGCCAUCAGGCUGGUGACCAGCAUCAUCCAGGCCUUGUAGGAAGCCUGAACUGAGAGCAUCUUUACUGUGCCAAACUCAGGGCGUUUGUUUUAAUCCUGUUACUGUGUAGUUCUCUGUCUCUGGUCCAGGAGAGAAUUGAUGGAUGAGGGAAGGGUUUUGGAAGUCAUUAAUCGCUCUUUUGCAUCCUCUGAGGACAUCUUUUUAUGAUCUCCAAGGAUGCCUCUCAGUGUAAUCCAUUGCCCACAUAAGUAUUUUUUAACAUUUGUGGGUGGUGGUGAUGACGUACUAAGCAGCAGUAAAUAUAGAAUCUGUGUGUCACAGUGGGGAUGCAAAUAGGCCUGCUUGAACGAACUCUAAAGUCUUGCUGGGGAGACAGCUAAAAUAGCUUAGUUACCUUGGACUUGGGUGUCCCCACAUGUCAUUUAAAAACCAUCUUCUGGAGUGGGUCAAGCUGUUUCGCCUAAGUUAAAAUCUUGGAUUUUGUAAUAGAUCUGAAUUUUCAUCCACUAUUUACUAGCUUAGCAAACUUAUAAAUUUUCUGUCUAGCCUUAUUAGUUUCACCUUCCCAAAGGAACCUUUAUUCCCACAUUUGGUGAGCAUCCAUAUUUGCUGGCUCUUAUACUUAAACACACUGAGAGGAUGAGAAAGGUUUUCCGUUUUAGGGAGAACCAUCACAAGUAGAUUAGAGUGUAUUAGGAGAACAUGAAUGCUGGAUUAUGAGGCGCAAAGAUGGUUGGACUCCCAUUCUAUUCUCCUAGGCUUAGCACUGUGCCUGGGAUGCACAGUGAGUGUGUUGUGAUGAAUGAAAGAGGAGUUUUCAUUAGUGAGAUUAACAGGAAGAGAAUAUUUACAUAAGUAGUAGAAUGAAACUAUAGAGAACCUCCAGUGCCAGGCUAAACUAAUUCAGAUUUUGUUACAUAGAUAGUAAAAAGCCAUUAAAACACUGAAUGGUGUGUGACAUGUACAAAUGAGCAUUUUAGAAAAAUGUCUGGUGGCAGUACAGAUUAGAGGCAGAGACAGUAUUUAGAGUUGGCGGACAACUUAUUAGGCAAUAGGACCUGAGGUAGGUGUGGGAGCUAAAAAGGUGAAUAAGACAUGGGCAGAUUUCAAGGAGCUUAGGAGACUACUGUGAUAUUUUAAGUGCGAGAUAAUGAAGACAAACCCCUUUGGAAAGAAAGGAAUGAACAUUGUUAAGAACUUAGUAGUACUUAGUAACUGGCUAGGGGAAGAAAAACGGAGAAGCCAAGGUUUCGACCAAGAAUCAUGGACAGGAAUAGGGUCUCAGGAGGCUAGGCCUGAUUUUUGAGUGAGGGGGUGGUAGGACAUUCAGGAGCAGAGUCCAGUUGUCUGUGGAAAUGUUUAGUUGAAACUGAGCAAAGAGGUUAGAGCUGGAGUUGAUGUGUGGGCCAACUGCAAAGAGGUACAGGCUUAAAUCAUAAGGGUGGGUGAGAAAUUGGGAGAGAUAAUAGAAAAGAUUGAAGGAGUGGGGAGUGAGUCUUGGGGAAUGAAUUUUAAUGUUUGAGAGAUGGGAGAUGCAAACAGAGGCAGAGAAGGAGAGAAAAGGACACCCAGAAUGGUAGAAAAACCAGGGGAGAACAGAGUCACGGAGGCCAGUAGAGAUGAGCUAAGGGAGAGAAUGGAAGUGCCUAAUGCUAAGCUAGUUGGGUCAGAUGGGAAGACACAAGGAAGCAGGGAAGAAAAUAGAAAUCUGGAGCUCCCUGGUGGCCUAGCAGUUAAGUUGUCACUGCUGUGGUGCAGGUUUGCGCCAUGGCCCAGGAACUUACACAUGCUGUAGGUGCAGAUGAAAAG